GAUGAACGCUGGCGGCGUGCCUAACACAUGCAAGUCGAACGGAAAGGCCCUGCUUUUGCGGGGUGCCAGAGUGGCGAACGGGUGAGAUACCUGUGAGUAACCUGGCCUUGGGUUUGGGACAACCUCAAGAAACUGCGGCUAAUACCGGAUUGGAGCUCCGGAUGCAUGGGGGGGGUUGGAAAUCUUCGGCGGUUGGGGAUGGACUGGCGGCUUAUCAGCUUGUUGGUGGGGUAGUGGCUUACCAAGGCGUUCGUGGGUAGUCGGCCUGAGAGGGUGACCGGCGGCAUUGGGACUGAGGUGAGGCACAGACUCCUACGGGAGGCAGCAGUGGGGAAUAUUGCACCAGCGGCGGAGGCCUGAUGCAGCAGCGCCGCGUGCGGGAUAACGGCCUUCGGGUUGAGAAACGGUUUCGCCUGUGAAGAUGCGUGUGUGACGGUAAUGGGUAGAAAAACACCGGCUAACUACGUG
rnacentral:rRNA from 1 species